UCCCCCGGAUGACUGCAAUAUUAUGUCAGUCAAAGUACCCAGAUGAGGACAAUAUUAUUUUUUGAUAUUUUCCUAGUCCGGGCAUUUUAACAAUUUUUGCUGGUUCCCACACAAUCAAGAGCGUAGAACCUCACAGUUGUCAACCGGUCAACAGAGCGUAGCGCGGUACCAUCGCACGCGGGCACGGACGCAGCGCGCAGCAUGAUAUACGCGCAGUGUUGCCAACAGCAACAAUGGCAGCUUCGAGUAGUGCAAAAUUUGCUUCCGUAAGCAAAGAAUAUUCGGUGAAAUUUCAGAAAUAAAGACAGUGUCUUGAAAGGUAUUUCUUGCUGAUCAAGUCGGCUUGAUAUAAAUAAUAAUAAUAGUAUUGGAUGGCUUUUUUCCCAGGGGAUACAAGAAUAUAUUGCACUAGCUAUAACAAUAUUGCCCUCGUCAUAGCUCAUGUAAUAUGUUCUUAUAUCCCCCUCAAAGCCAUCCGAUGUUAUAUAUCUAUCUUUAGGGGGGAUUGAUAUGCAAAGAUCCGUCAUGAAAUAAAACACAAACACACAAACAAAAAACGAAUCUCUGUUAAAGGAUUUCUUGAUAACUAGACAAAAUAAAAAAAUUAACAUAAAAAUGCACAAGAAAAAAAUGUCUGCCUUAAUGCAAAAUACUGUACAUAUUUAGAGACCUUAUAAAGUUUAAAACCGUAUAGGUGAAAAUCUACUUUGAUUCACUAAAAUAGGAAUAAAAAAAGUUGCAUUUUAAAGUGAUGUAGUACUGUUUGAUACAAUGCAAGACAUGGUUAGUAGAUCAGACAGUAAACUUAGUGUAUUGUAUAGGUAUAUGAAAUACUGGUUCAAAUCUGGUUUGAACCAGUUCAAACCAGUCUCUACUGGUUUAAACUGGCCCAAUUUAAAGAGGCAAAUGCAUACACACAUUUGAGCGUACGGUUUCUGCAGAGUUUACACUGAAGGGCUGGUCAGUGACAUUAAUGUACAUGUGUGUACAUAUAUGUAAAUAUAUUUUAAAUAUUGAUUACAAAUUCCUGGUAUUUUAAAAAAAAAAUUUCUUUCAUGAUCAACUUCGUGAGACAGAGAAGUGCAAGAUUUGAAUAAAGAAUUCUCAAUUUUACCCAGUUGUAUAUUUUCUGUAUUUUGUCAGAUUUGUUUUUGUUAAAUUUAAUUGUAUACAUGUAUAUGUUUUUCCAUAGAGUAAGGAAUGGAUUGUAUCAUUCAAAUUCCAGGAAAAGAUACUUUAAUAACGUUGUUGGCAUGAGGCGAUUUUGUCUUUUAAGAACCAGGGCUUUCUCCAUACAAGAAUUUCAUUGUUUAUCUUUACCCAACAUUAUCACACUUCUCAAGCAAGACAGCGAAGGCGAGAUUCACGUUUUGGAACCAGUCAGUUCCCCCGAGCUGUCCCCGCACCACGACGGCGAUCGUCUCAGCGAACUGACUGCGCUGGUACGCAAGGGGGAACACCGGGGAUGUCAUGGACCGCAUACCGCAGGAGAUCCAGCGCGUCAUACGUGACAACAACCUGCAGUUCCUGCGGAACCGCGCCAUCUAUGACACCGAUUACUUCACCUUUGUCCGGAGCCUUGCAUCCUGCAAUGUGUCUUUCACACUGAGCAGUUACUACGAUUCCUGUGCCGUCACCAGCCUGCAACUAGCCUUCCUGUUUCUAUUCAACAAUUACUUCCGAACCAAAAAGAAGCUCAGGAUAUUGUAUGCUGCAAACAUCUGUUCACUAAGUCUGCCGUGCGGCGGAUCAUAACGUUCCUCUUUGGCCCACACACUGCACAGAACGAGGAGGAUGUUCAGACGAGGUGAUGGACGUCCCUGCAAACCAAAGAGUUCACUUAUCUCCACACGGUGCUGGCUGUCAUGAUCCUGUACUGUGACGUCUCCAAGUUCAGAACAAUCGAUCAAGGGGAUUAUCCACCGAGGCAGAGGACGUUAAUCAUCCCCACCAGUAAGCCGCUAGCCAUGCCCAGCGACAUGCAACAAAUCCUCUUUGCCACGGAAGGCAUCAAGUACAUCCG
rnacentral:lncRNA from 1 species